GGUGACAGCCAGAGAGUGACAGCAGAAGGUGACAAGUGACAAUGACAAUCGUGACAUCAAAGUUAUUUUGGGAUCAAAAGUUAUAUCCUGAAGGAAAAUACAACUAGCAAAGGAUAAAUAUGGGUAAUAUAGUCGGACCGCCGAAAAUUGCGGCUGCCUCUGAAGUAAGCAAACCGGCCUCUGAAGAACCCAAAAAGUUGAAACCUUGCUGUGCUUGCCCGGAAACCAAGAAAGUUCGUGAUGAAUGUAUAAUUCAACGAGGCCAAGAAAACUGCGGAGACCUUAUCGAAGCCCAUAAAAAGUGCAUGAGAGAUUUGGGAUUCAACAUUUAAAUACUUUUCCCUGUUACAUACUUAGUUUUGUAUAUAGUUUCUUAGGAAUGUGAUGUAAUAUUUUGUUUAUUAAGUUAUUUUCCAAAAAUUAGUUUUAUGUGCUUCUAUUGGCUAACCUGUAUAUAAUCUUAACCAAUAAAUGGUUGGGUAAAUA